rnacentral:sRNA from 1 species
UAGUAGUUACGUCAAGAAUUAUAUUGU